rnacentral:rRNA from 1 species
CAAUAGCGUAUAUUAAAGUUGUUGCGGUUAAAAAGCUCGUAGUUGGAUUUCUGUCGAAGACGGCCGGUCCGCUCUAUGAGCGUGUAUCUGGUUCGGCUUUGGCAUCCUCGUGGGGAACGUAACUGUGCUUGAUUGCAUGGUGCGGAAUUCACGACUUUUACUUUGAGGAAAUUAGAGUGUUCACGGCAGGCAAGCGCCUUGAAUACAUUAGCAUGGAAUAAUAAUAUAGGACUUUGGUUCUAUUUUGUUGGUUUCUAGAACUAAAGUAAUGAUUAAUAGGGAUAAUUGGGGGCAUUUGUAUUAACGCGUCAGAGGUGGAAUUCUUGGAUUGCGUUACGACAAACUACUGCGAAAGCUAUUCGCAAGGAUGUUUUCAUUGAUCAAGAACGAAAGUAUAGGGAUCGAAGAUGAUCAGAU